AGGAGGUGUCCUCUUGUUCUGAUUCUGUGGAGACAGUUCCUGGUUUUUCGUGUCAUGCUCAGAUGAGCGUCUGAAACCAAGUCCUGUUGAUCCAGCCGUGAGUCUCCAUUCCACUCCAACCCAGUUGCUCAAGAGCCUCCUUGUGGGAACACCUGACUCUUGCUCACCUGCAUGUCCACCCUCCAACACCGCCUACCCGAACACAGCGGAACUACCCAAGAAACACACAGUGGCAACUAAAGAAUCUCACCACUCCGUUACUCGCUCUCUACCAACCUCAGCCACCAUGGAAAAGACUUAUUCUUCCCCAACAAGUCUCCAGCCUUGUCAUCCUGGCAAUCCAGAUCCCUCCAGCAGAUCCAGUCUGAUUCAUUUCAACCUGUGUUUUCUAAAUAAACUGUUAAAAUGC